rnacentral:lncRNA from 1 species
UUUAAUUUCUCAUAAUAGAAAUAAAAUACCAUAUACAAAAAAUACAAUCCAUUGCAUAAUAUAAAAUAAAAUUUCAUACUCAAAAAAUAAAAUAAAUUACACAAAUUGUAAUGUCAUACAAAGAAUCAUUCAAAUGUUAAACAAAAAUAAAACAUUGCUAACAUGGGUUAUACAUUCCUAUAAAACUAACAAAUAAUCAUACAACUCUUUUUCUUACUGGAAAGGAAUGUCAAACAUGAUUACAAGUCUCCCUUAAUCUUGAUUACUCACCUGCUUAAGUAGAAUGUUGUUGUUGAGAAGGUUACCUAGCAACAGAGAAAAACACAACACCUCUCCCACAAUCACAACAUCAUUUACAGAGAAAGGUUGUCAAUUACUUUCAUUAAGACUUUCAUUCAAUCACAAAAAUAUUAAAUAAAAGGGUGAAACAGUAACUUACUUGUGAUAAGUUGAUCUCCCUUAGAGCAAACACAGCUAAAGCAUUGAACAAGACCCUAUUUCCCUCUUCUUUUAAAGUUUCCAGAAUGUUUAGAAUGCUCUCCUUACUCAUAAUAUAUAAUCAAUAAUCAGAUUGAAUUAUAUAUUAUGAGUAAGUAAUAAAGUACAUGUAACACAAUAAAGUAUUAUUAAGGAACUUAUGAGUUCAAAUAUUAUUUUUUACACUCAGAUGCCAAAAUAUUUUAUGUUAUUCUUCUACAAGUUGAGAACCAACUCAAACAUGAAAGAUAAUAGUCCAUCUAGCAGCUUUUAAGUACAACCUUGUGAUAGGAAAAAAUGAAAGUAGGAUGCUAUAAUACACAAAGCAAUACAAGUACAAUGAUAAGGAAUUAUUUUUACUUGUUAUUGUGCAAGGUCUUAAUUUGUAAAAGUUGUUUCAACUUGCGAAUGAUAAGGAAGAAAGGCAUUGAAUAUUACCAAGGUAUGAAUUGUGGGGUCCAGGAGAAGCUUCCGGAUGGUAUUGAAGAGACAUAAGCUUUUGUUGAGGGAGGCAAGACCUGUACAGAUUCCAUUCGUAAUUGUGAUUCACAUGAUGCAUGCAAGGUAAUGCACAUGAGCCCAAUCAAUUUAGAUUCAGAUUAUGUAGUUUACCUUUGUUUUUGUCAGCUUCAAGAAAUAAAGUGAAAGUUGAUGUUAACUUUAAGUGUAUCUUCUUCUUCUGUGUCCAGUAACAGCACACACAACAGAACAAAUAACAGAUUUAUGUGUUUACAACACAAAACACAAAACUUUCCAUAUUCAAUAUAUAUAAUUAUAUCCAUCCUACAACAAAUUAAAAGGCAGAGAGAUUAGAGAAUAGAGAUUAUUCACCCAUAUCAANNNNNNNNNNNNNNNNNNNNNNNNNNNNNNNNNNNNNNNNNNNNNNNNNNNNNNNNNNNNNNNNNNNNNNNNNNNNNNNNNNNNNNNNNNNNNNNNNNNNGUAACCUUACGACGCGCGUGUUAAUGACACGCAAUGCGUAUCAAGAAAGCCCCUGUCAAGAAAGGCCAUGUCAUAAAUGAAGAUGACACACAUUUUUGCGUAUCGUAAAUUUAAAUGUUUAAAAAAAAUAAAUUUAUAUAUUUAUUAAUUUUUAAAUUAAAUUUGCAUUUAAUUUCUCAUAAUAGAAAUAAAAUACCAUAUACAAAAAAUACAAUCCAUUGCAUAAUAUAAAAUAAAAUUUCAUACUCAAAAAAUAAAAUAAAUUACACAAAUUGUAAUGUCAUACAAAGAAUCAUUCAAAUGUUAAACAAAAAUAAAACAUUGCUAACAUGGGUUAUACAUUCCUAUAAAACUAACAAAUAAUCAUACAACUCUUUUUCUUACUGGAAAGGAAUGUCAAACAUGAUUACAAGUCUCCCUUAAUCUUGAUUACUCACCUGCUUAAGUAGAAUGUUGUUGUUGAGAAGGUUACCUAGCAACAGAGAAAAACACAACACCUCUCCCACAAUCACAACAUCAUUUACAGAGAAAGGUUGUCAAUUACUUUCAUUAAGACUUUCAUUCAAUCACAAAAAUAUUAAAUAAAAGGGUGAAACAGUAACUUACUUGUGAUAAGUUGAUCUCCCUUAGAGCAAACACAGCUAAAGCAUUGAACAAGACCCUAUUUCCCUCUUCUUUUAAAGUUUCCAGAAUGUUUAGAAUGCUCUCCUUACUCAUAAUAUAUAAUCAAUAAUCAGAUUGAAUUAUAUAUUAUGAGUAAGUAAUAAAGUACAUGUAACACAAUAAAGUAUUAUUAAGGAACUUAUGAGUUCAAAUAUUAUUUUUUACACUCAGAUGCCAAAAUAUUUUAUGUUAUUCUUCUACAAGUUGAGAACCAACUCAAACAUGAAAGAUAAUAGUCCAUCUAGCAGCUUUU